rnacentral:tmRNA from 1 species
GGGGCUGAUUCUGGAUUCGACGGGAUUUGCGAAACCCAAGGUGCAUGCCGAGGGGCGGUUGGCCUCGUAAAAAGCCGCAAAAAAAUAGUCGCAAACGACGAAACCUACGCUUUAGCAGCUUAAUAACCUGCUUAGAGCCCUCUCUCCCUAGCCUCCGCUCUUAGGACGGGGAUCAAGAGAGGUCAAACCCAAAAGAGAUCGCGCGGAUGCCCUGCCUGGGGUUGAAGCGUUAAAACGAAUCAGGCUAGUCUGGUAGUGGCGUGCCCGUCCGCAGGUGCCAGGCGAAUGUAAAGACUGACUAAGCAUGUAGUACCGAGGAUGUAGGAAUUUCGGACGCGGGUUCAACUCCCGCCAGCUCCACCA